rnacentral:ribozyme from 1 species
ACAAAAAAAAAAAAAAACCAAAAAAAACGGUUGUUAAUUUGUCGGCUAAAACGAAGAAACGGUCCGUUUGUCUUCCCUCGGCUAGAAAACCCGUUUUUUUUUUUCUUUUUUUUUUUUUCCUUG